CGCGCGGGCGGGCGGAGCGCGUCGAGGGCGCCGGCGGGCGGGUUUGAAUCUGGUCCGAGCGCGGGAAUCUGCGGGUCCCGGGGACGAGGGUUACAGAAUAAAUGCCAUAUGAAAAACAGUUUGAUCUGCCAUGGAAAAACGUGAGACAUUUGUACAAGCAGUGUCUAAGGAGCUGAUUGGAGAAUUUUUGCAAUUCAUUCAACUUGAUAAAGAUGCCUCUGACCCUUUCAACUUAAGUGAAUUGCUAGAUGAAUUGUCAAGGAAACAGAAAGAAGAGCUAUGGCAGAGACUCAAGAAUUUAUUAACGGAUGUGUUGGUGGAGAGCCCGGUGGACAGCUGGCAGCCAGUGGAAGCCCCCGGUGAAGGCAGCAUGGAAACAGAGCAGGGGUCAAAAAUGAAAAAAAACAUAGAAAUAAUUCAUGCAAUUACAUCUGUGAUUCUUGCUUCUGUGUCUGUUAUAAAUGAAAGUGAGAAUUAUGAAGCCUUACUGGAGUGUGCUGUUAUAUUAAAUGGUGUUUUGUACGCGCUACCUGACUCUGAACGAGAGCUCCAGGGCUCCAUCCAGGAUCUGUGUGUGAUGUGGUGGGAGAGAGGCCUGCCCGCCAAGGAGGACAUGGGGAAGACUGCUUUCGUCAUGCUGCUGAGGAGAAGUCUCAAGACGAAAACAGGUGCAGACAUCUGUCGGCUAUGGCGUAUCCAUCGAGCUUUAUAUUGCUUCGAUUAUGAUUUGGAGGAAAGUAGAGAAAUUGAAGACAUGCUGCUUGAGUGCUUCAUAAAUGUUAAUUAUAUCAGAAAAGAAGAGGGAAGAAGAUUUCUUAGUUCUCUCUUCAACUGGAAUAUAAAUUUCAUUAAAAUGAUCCAUGGGACCAUUAAAAACCAGUUACAAGGAUUACAAAAAUCUUUGAUGGUACACAUUGCAGAAGUUUAUUUCAGAGCUUGGAGAAAGGCUUCAGGGAAAAUAUUAGAGGCCAUCGAAAACGGCUGCAUCCAGGACUUCUUGUACCAUGGCGUCCACCUUCCUCGGAAGUCUCCAGUGCACACCAGAGUGCGCGAGGUGCUGAGUUAUUUUCAUCGUCAAAAGGAAGUUCGGCAGGGAGUGGAAGAGAUGCUUUACAGAUUAUAUAAGCCCAUCCUUUGGAGAGGAUUAAAGGCCAGAAACUCGGAAGUCCGGUCCAAUGCUGCACUGCUGUUUGUUGAAGCAUUUCCUAUUAGGGAUCCAAACUUUAACGCCAUUGAGAUGGAUAGCGAAAUUCAGAAACAAUUUGAAGAACUCUAUAGCCUUUUAGAAGAUCCUUAUCCGAUGGUCCGUUCCACAGGGAUCCUUGGUGUUUGUAAAAUAACUUCCAAAUACUGGGAGAUGUUGCCUCCGACCAUUCUUAUCGAUCUUCUCAAGAAAGUAACUGAGGAACUGGCAUUUGAUACGAGCUCUGCUGACGUGCGCUGUUCUGUCUUUAAGUGUCUGCCGAUAAUUUUGGAUAAUAAGUUAAGCCACCCGUUGUUAGAGCAACUUUUGCCAGCGUUAAAGUUCUGUCUCCAUGACAAUUCGGAGAAAGUGAGAGUGGCUUUUGUUGAUAUGCUGCUGAAAGUUAAGGCUGUGAGGGCUGCUAAGUUUUGGAAAAUAUGCCCCAUGGAGCACAUUCUGGUCCGUCUGGAGUUGGACUCUCUGCCCGUCACUCGGCGCCUGGUGGGCCUUAUCUUCAACUCCUUCCUGCCCGUGAACCAGCCCGAGGAGGUGUGGUGCGAGCGCUGCGUGACGCUGCUGCAGAUGAACCACGCGGCUGCGCGGAGGUUCUACCAGCACGCGCACGAGCACACGGCCUGCACCAACAUAGCAAAGCUGAUUCAUGUGAUUCGCCACUGCUUGAACGCCUGCAUCCGGAGGGCUCUGAGUGCGUGCGGGGAGGACGAUGAGGAGCGGGGGAAGGAGAACGUGAGCGCUCUGGACCAAACGCUGUCAAUAAGCGAUGCCGCGUCCAUGGCGGGUUUGUUAGAGAUCGUUGUGAUUCUCUGGAGAAGCAUUCACAGGAGUAUGGAGAAUAACAAAGAGGCCAAAGUGUACACCGUUAGCAAGUUCGCCUCUAUGCUGCCAGAGUACAUGAAGGUGUUUAAGGAUGAUCGCUGCAAGACCCCUCUGUCUGUGCUGGCCUCCCUGAUGCCGGCCUCGGCUGUGCCCACCUUCAGCUGUGGUGUGAUUUCCACACUAAGAAACCAAGAGGAAGGAACAGCCGACAAGAGCUACUGUAUUCUGUUAGACUGUCUCUGUUCCUGGGGGCAAGUGGAACACAUCCUGGAGCUCGUUUGUGACUCGCUGCCGGAGGAGCAGCCUCAGAGCAAGGGUAACUCUGCGUCUAAGCGGAAAGUGCGGGUCCAGGACCCGCGCCCAGUCAAACCCGGGCUGGCGCUGGUCUACGUUGAGUACUUGCUGACCCACCCGAAGAAUCGCGAGUGCCUGCUUUCCGCACCCCAGAAGAAACUGAACCGUCUUUUGAAAGCCCUUGAAACAUCCAAGGUGGAUCUGGAAUCGAUUUUGCAGUCGCCAGGUGGGAGCCCUCACCACCUAAGCGAGGGCGCUGUCCUGCGAGCCUUCAGCCUCCACUGCCGGUUGAGUAUCCAUCUUCAGCACAAGUCCUGCUCAGAAGGCAAAGUUUACCUGUCCACUUUGGAAGACACUGGGUUUUGGUUAGAAAGCAAAGUUUUAUCUUUUAUCCAAGAUCAAGAAGAAGAAUAUCUGAAGCUUCACAGGGUCGUUUAUCAACAGAUUAUCCAGACCUACCUGACUGUGUGCAAAGAUGUCAUUUUGGUCGGCCUUGGUGACUGUAUGUUUCAGACACAGCUUUUACAGCGGAGCCUUGGAAUCAUGCAAACAGUGAAGGGUUUCUUUUAUGUUUCAUUACUUCUUGGCAUUCUGAAAGAGGUAACCAGAAGCUCCUUGACGCAGAAAGCAGAUUCAGAGAAAGAAGUCUCAACACUGUUUGAUUUGGUGCAGAAAGUAUUUCAGCAGAUGUUGGAAUGUAUGGCGCGGAGCUUCAGGAAGCAACCAGAAGAAGGCUUGCAGCUCCUUUAUUCUGUUCAGACUCCUCUUCAUGAAUUUAUCAGCACCGUGCAGUCCUGGCACGUGGACACGCCUGUCCACCGGGGCGUGCUCUCCACUCUGAUUGCCGCGUCUGUGGUCGAGAUAAGUCACCGGCUCCGAAAGGUUUCUGAUACCAAAGAGCUUACUCCCCCAGAGGGUCUUGCAGCCCUUCCACCAUUUUCAAGGUGUUUAAUAGGAAUAAUAAUAAAAUCUCCGAAUGUAGUCAGGUCAUUUUUAGAUGAAUUGAAGGCAUGUGUUAUUUCUGAGGAUAUUGAAGGCAUCGUGUGUCUCACAGCUGUUACGCACAUUAUCUUGGUUAUUAAUAGAGGUAAACAUAAGAGUUCAAAAGUAAAGGGUGUUGCAGCUACUGUUCACAGAAAACUAAAGACAUUCAUGGAAAUUACUUUGGAAGAGGAUAGCUUGGAAAGGUUUCUCUAUGAAUCAUCAUCAAGAACUUUGGGAGCACUUUUGAAUUCAUAACGAAGCCAACAUCUUGGUCAUGUAAAAAUAGAGAAAAAGGACUUACAGAAAAGCUGUCCCGGCUGAUGGAGGACUGGCCCCCGGCUCCCUGGCUGCAUCGUCCUGCGUCACCACCCCCGUUGCCAGAGUGUCCACAUUCAGAUCCCGACAGCCACGGCCCAGGUCGAGGCCGUCAGCAUCCUGCCGCCUGGGAUGCUGCUUCAAACGCACGCGUGUUCUGUCUCAGCCCCCCAGCAGGAAGGAAAGAAGUGCCAAUGUCUCAGUGCCUCUGUUUCUCGAAGAAGGUACCUAAAUGGACUGUGCACCGUGGUCGUGAGCAUUUAGGGCAAGGUGUUGCCGAGGGAUAUCUGAGGACUGGGGGGUGGGGGUUGAUUACUUUAGCUGGUUUUGAACAUAAGACUAUCUAAACAUCUUUGCUAAUUAACUAAGCCGUACUUUGUAUUGGUGAAUUUUUUUUUUUUCUCUUUUUUACCCUUUCCUUGUUUGAUUUAGUUUCAAGAAUAGGCAAG